rnacentral:rRNA from 1 species
CGGGUGGCAGCAGUGGGGAAUUUUGGACAAUGGACGCAAGUCUGAUCCAGCCAUUCCGCGUGCAGGACGAAGGCCUUCGGGUUGUAAACUGCUUUUGUACGGAACGAAAAAGCUCUUACUAAUACUAGGAGUCCAUGACGGUACCGUAAGAAUAAGCACCGGCUAACUACGUGCCAGCAGCCGCGGUAAUACGUAGGGUGCGAGCGUUAAUCGGAAUUACUGGGCGUAAAGCGUGCGCAGGCGGUUAUAUAAGACAGAUGUGAAAUCCCCGGGCUCAACCUGGGAACUGCAUUUGUGACUGUAUAGCUAGAGUGCGGCAGAGGGGGAUGGAAUUCCGCGUGUAGCAGUGAAAUGCGUAGAUAUGCGGAGGAACACCGAUGGCGAAGGCAAUCCCCUGGGCCUGCACUGACGCUCAUGCACGAAAGCGUGGGGAGCAAACAGGAUUAGAUACCCCGGU